GAUGAACGCUGGCGGCGUGCCUAAUACAUGCAAGUCGAGCGAACAGACGAGGAGCUUGCUCCUCUAACGUUAGCGGCGGACGGGUGAGUAACACGUGGAUAACCUACCUAUAAGACUGGGAUAACUUCGGGAAACCGGAGCUAAUACCGGAUAAUAUAUUGAACCGCAUGGUUCAAUAGUGAAAGACGGUUUUGCUGUCACUUAUAGAUGGAUCCGCGCCGCAUUAGCUAGUUGGUAAGGUAACAGCUUACCAAGGCAACGAUGCGUAGCCGACCUGAGAGGGUGAUCGGGCACACUGGAACUGAGACACGGUCCAGAAUCCUACGGGAGGCAGCAGUAGGGAAGCUUCCGCAAUGGGCGAAAGCCUGACGGAGCAACGCCGCGUGAGUGAUGAAGGUCUUCGGAUCGUAAAACUCUGUUAUUAGGGAAGAACAAAUGUGUAAGUAACUAUGCACGUCUUGACGGUACCUAAUCAGAGAGCCACGGCUAACUACGUGCCAGCCGCCGCAGUAA
rnacentral:rRNA from 1 species